UACGUAGGGUGCGAGCGUUGUCCGGAAUUAUUGGGCGUAAAGGGCUCGUAGGCGGUUUGUCGCGUCGGGAGUGAAAACCAUGGGCUUAACUCAUGGCUUGCUUUCGAUACGGGCAGACUAGAGGUAUGCAGGGGAGAACGGAGUUCCUGGUGUAGCGGUGAAAUGCGCAGAUAUCAGGAGGAACACCGGUGGCGAAGGCGGUUCUCUGGGCAUGAUCUGACGCUGAGGAGCGAAAGUGUGGGGAGCGAACAGG
rnacentral:rRNA from 1 species